rnacentral:rRNA from 1 species
GAUGAACGCUGGCGGCGUGCCUAAUACAUGCAAGUCGAGCGAACGGACGAGAAGCUUGCUUCUCUGAUGUUAACGGCGGACGGGUGAGUAACACGUGGAUAACCUACCUAUAAGACUGGGAUAACUUCGGGAAACCGGAGCUAAUACCGGAUGAUAUUUUGAACCGCAUGGUUCAAAAGUGAAAGACGGUCUUGCUGUCACUUAUAGAUGGAUCCGCGCUGCAUUAGCUAGUUGGUAAGGUAACGGCUUACCAAGGCAACGAUGCAUAGCCGACCUGAGAGGGUGAUCGGCCACACUGGAACUGAGACACGGUCCAGACUCCUACGGGAGGCAGCAGUAGGGAAUCUUCCGCAAUGGGCGAAAGCCUGACGGAGCAACGCCGCGUGAGUGAUGAAGGUCUUCGGAUCGUAAAACUCUGUUAUUAGGGAAGAACUUAUGUGUAAGUAACUGUGCACAUCUUGACGGUACCUAAUCAGAAAGCCACGGCUAACUACGUG